GGGGCUUGUCUUUUCAUCUUUAUGUUUUGGGGUUUUAUUCAACACGUUUUUUUGGUUGACAUCUAUAUUGAGUUGUUUCACAUACCGAACAAAGCUGAGCUGUGCCAUUGAUACUGCUGAUGGAAAUAAUACAUUAAAGGGGACAUAUUGUGAAAAAUCCACCUUUGUAGUGUUUUUGAACAUAUAUUUAGGUAAGUGUCUACAGACCCACAAAAGGUGAAAUAAAUCCACCCAGUCCUUUGUUGGUGGUCUGCACAAGUCUUACCACACAGAGAAAAGAGCUCUGUUUCACAUUUCCUCUCCUUCUGAUGUCACAGUGGGAUUCUGUUUUUUUUUUUUUUUAAAACCCUACCCUUAAAGAAUCUUUGUAGCAGACAAACAUUAAACAACAGUCGGCUGAAGCAGUGUUGGGCUUUGAAAAUUGCAGAGGGAGAUGCAGAAAGAAGGAGAAAGAUAGAGACAAGCAGAGCAACAACAAAUAAGAUAUUUACAUACAGUGUCAGUUAUAAUGGUAAAAUGAUGUGUACAGUAGAGUAGUAUUAGCAGUAACAGCUGAGUAUGAUAAUAGACUGAUAAGUCUAAUAUUAACAGCUGCAAAUGUAAUGAUGAUGAAAUGGGAAGGACCGAUUAUGUCAAUUAUAGAGGUUAAAGUUGAGCAGCACUAAGAUACACUUCAAUAGGUUUAAAUCAUUAUAAAAGAUGUACAUGUCUCAUGCUCUGAAAAUGUCGUCUAUGCAUCAUAUCCUGCAAUGGACCCUGAAAUUAGCGCCAUUUUUAUAGCACUUCACAUAAAAUCUAGAAAGAAUUUUUCAUUUUAAAAAAGGCUUUAAUUUACAUACUCUCUGCUUCAUUGUGUAGAAAAUGUUGUACUUCUAAAUUACACUUUCUCAAUUAAUAUUUCUCCUUGUGUUUCCUUUCACCCUCAUCUACUCUUCACCCGAAAAUCAUCAUGACUCUCUCUUUAUUCCUCUGUUUUGCACCCAUGCCCAUCUUUCUCAUUCUACACCUUUUCUUCCUCUUCAAGGAUAUUCCUUGGCUUCCUAGGCUUCGGUCUCACCGUCCUGUUCUGCACCACCUUCUGCAGAGCAUGCAGCCGCAUAAGGGAGGAGCAGAUAGAGGCAGAGACGCUGAGACGUAGUGAGCAGGAAGGCCGUCCCCAUUCUAUAUAUUUCAUCCCUUUCCCCAGAAGCAUAUCGCAGCAGGACAUUGAAGACCACUUCAGGGUACCUCGAUACAGCCAGGAGGUCCAAAAUCCACCAAGAUACAGCACAGCUGCAAACAGCGGGCCACCACCUUCAUAUAAUGAGCUGGCAUUUAAGCCUGAGGAUCUCCCACCUGCCUACACAGAGUACAGCGCUCCUGUGCAUCCAUCACACCUCCGCCUCACGUAGAAUUGGCUCAGCUACAAACACAGACACAACAAUAAGCCAGGACUCUUACACUGUGCCUGUGUUGAGAUCAUGGACACUCUUGAUCAUUGAACUGCCUCAUGGACUCGAGUGAGCUUGCAUUUCUUAAUGUUUCAAAGUUGUUUUUAUUAUUAUAAAUAUACUAAAGAUUAUGAAAAUGAAACAGAGGGAACCAAAACUGUGGAGAUGUCAUCAGGUUUAAGGCAAGUAUAUGGAUGGUUAUACAGCACAUCCUCCAAACCAAUAAAACACUUAAGACCCAAAAAUAGAUUUUAUCCCCACAUAAUGAUGAUUGGAACAUUUUUAUGACAGCCAACUGAAAGGUUAUGCUUCUGGUUUGAAUGGUUGUUUUGUGACAUCAGCACAAGGUGUCAAAAAUCCCUGUAGGAGUAUUAAUGAUAUUAUAGGUGAAUAUUAUUGACUGUGUAAGAAGUGGGCAUAGCCACCCUGACUACCAUUCCCAAGCCCUGAGUUUGACAUUGGGCUACAUUUACUAAUUCUAUGCAAUAUGGUUACGGUCAGGUGCAAAUAUGAAUCCAUUCUUCUUAAUAGUAUAAGUCAUAUUUUUGAUUACACGUUUUCUUGCCUCUUCAACUAAUGUUUGAUCCUUUCAUAUCAUCUGGAAAUUACACAUUCAAGGCCAUCUUCAGUAAAGUUUUUGAUCUGUAUAGUUAUACAGAGUAUUUUGUGUAAUGAAAGAAAUAAUAUAUGUGUAAAAAGUGAAUGCAUUAUAUACUUUAAGUUUUAUUGAACUUCAGACAAACCCAGAGAGACAAAGCUUUUGAGAAGCACAAUGUUCUUCAGGGUAGCCGUUCAACUCUCAGGAAAACUUCUUGGUUUAUUGCAAAAAACGUAUUCUAAGGGGGACAAACUUGACAGCAAUUUUCUGUUUUUCAUUUAUCAUACUAUUAUUUCCCCUUUGUUAUCUUUAUUUUAGUUUCGGUGUCGCUCGACUCUGUCCUGGUGGCUCACAGUAUUUCCCUUUAAGCAGUAUUGUUGCAACAGUCCACAAAGAGAGGAGUGCUGUUUGGAGAGUUUGUUUGAAAUCAAACAAUAAAAAUGUUUUAUAUUAAAUGUUAACUGAGCAAUUAUCCCUCUGGAAUUGUUAAAUUCUCAGGACAAAUUUGUAUGAUAUAUGUAAAGUAGCUGGUCUACUGACAGAUCUCUGAAUUGAGCGU